CUGCAGUCAGCUCCAGACCUUCGAUUGGAUCCUUCAGUCUCUAGUGUGCAAGCAGAGCCUCUGCACUCUUCCACAUCAGACUCUAUGUCUGUGGCAACCAGGCACAGAAUGUCAAGGAGUGCAGUAUAUCCCUUUGGGAGGAACAGAUCCAGAGAUACAACAUGAGGCCAGAAAUGAAGACAGAAAACCAGUCAGCAGGCUUUACCCUGGAAAAUUCCUGCUCAGUAAGGUCCCAGAGGAUGUGGAGAGGGUGAUUAUGCCAGCUGUUUAACAACAUGCCUAUUUGCAGUCAUACUCACAGGAAAUUAUAGCUCUUAUAUGCUUCUAGGGAUGAAAGAGGAAGGUGAUCACCUGCCUUUCUGAUUUCCCACUCCACAUGGACAAAGGCUGAUCUGUUUGAAUAUAUACACUAAAAAUGAUUUUUUACAUCUUUGGGAAUGAGGACUUAGUAAAAAUAUGAAGCAUUUCAGAUCAACAUAAGGAAAAGUUUUUAAAGUAUUAAAUUUGCUUUUACAUAGAUAGGGUUCCUUUGGUAAGCAGUGAGUGUCCCACCAAUAGAUGAUAUUUAAACUGAAAAAAAUAUAUAUUAAGGAAGAGGAAUGACAGAGAAGCAGCUGCCUCUGCUGUGGAAUUUAAGUUAUCCCCUGUAUAUUAUCAGACCAUAGUGGAAUGAAAUUAGAGAUCAAUAGCAAAAGAAACUGCAAGAGUUUCAUAAACACAUGGAAAUUGAACUACACACUUCUGAAUAACCAACAGUCACAGAGAAAAUUAAAGAAGAAAUCAGACAGUUCCUUCAAUUAAAUGAUAAUGCCAAUAAAACAUAUUAAACUCUAUGGGACACAAUGAAACCAGUCUUAUGAGGGAAAUUCAGAGCAGUGAAUACUCAUGUUAGGAAAACAAAGUGAGCCCAAUUAAACAAACUGAUGUUGAACCUCAAGCUUCUAGAAAAAGAAGAUCAGAGCAAAGCCAAAGCUAAUAAAAGGGAGGAAAUUAUAAAGAUCAGAGCAGAAAGCAAUGCAAUGGAGACUGAGAGAAUGACACACAAAACCGAUGAAGCCAAGAGUUUCUUCUUUGAGUCAACAAAAUUGACAAACCCUUAGCCAACCUUCUCAGAAAAAGGAAAGAAAAGGCACAAAUCCAUGCAAUUAGGAAUGGAAAGGAUGAAAUUACAAUGGACCCAGCAGAAAUCUUGAGGGUAAUCAAUACCUACUUUGAGAACCUGUAUGCCAAUAAGAUGGAAAACACAGAAGAAAUGGACAGAUUCCUAGAUACAUAUGAAGUAUGAAAGUUGAACGAAGACCUAAAAAUUCUAAAGGACCCAAUAUCAAUCAAUGAUAUGGAAAAUGUAAUUAAAACUUACCAACUAAGAAAAG
ensembl:lncRNA